UACGGGGGGGGUAAGCGUUGUUCGGAAUUACUGGGCGUAAAGGGCUCGUAGGCGGCCAACUAAGUCGGACGUGAAAUCCCUCAGCUUAACUGGGGAACUGCGUCCGAUACUGGAUGGCUUGGAUUUGGGAGAGGGAUGCGGAAUUCCAGGUGUAGCGGUGAAAUGCGUAGAUAUCUGGAGGAAUACCGGUGGCGAAGGCGGCAUCCUGGACCGGCAUUGACGCUGAGGAGCGAAAGCUAGGGGAGCAAACGGG
rnacentral:rRNA from 1 species